rnacentral:lncRNA from 1 species
UUCCAUUCCUUAAUGCCGUCUUCUUCCUAGGUUUUUACACCAAUUUUAUGGUGAAAACAUCCUGCUCCUUCCAUAAAUGAAUGAAUAACAAGAGUCUGGUACACAGCUCCAUAAAUUUCAAUGAUAUAUCUUCAAGAUGAAAUAGUUCUGUAGCAUAUUAAUCAUGCAAAACUACAAAUUAGUGGCUAGAGGUUUGUGCCUUGUACUACUUAGUAUCUAGACUUCAAAAGGCAUGUUUAGAUCCUCAAGGUUCUCAACUGCAGAAGACGUCUAUGCUAAUUUUUCUGUUAAAAUUUCACAAACUCUGUCACGUGAUUAACUAUUGAUUAACAUGUCACCUUGUUGUUUUUAAUCAUGUGCAACUAAACCAUAUAUAACUUUAAAAUGGUGUAUGUAUUUCUUCUAAGUUGCACAUGAUUAGAACAUUUGUUAAUCAUGUUCUACUUUUAAAAGGGUGUAUAACUUUUUAUCAACAAGUGUGAUGUGCCAAACUUUUAAUCAUGAUUAAAAUGGUUAUAACUUUUAAUCAUGAUGAAGACAGAAAAACUAAGCACUAGAAGUACGCGAAACAGAAAAACUAUAGG